rnacentral:rRNA from 1 species
UGGGGAAUAUUGGACAAUGGGGGCAACCCUGAUCCAGCAAUGCCGCGUGAGUGAGGAAGGCCUUAGGGUUGUAAAGCUCUUUCGCACGCGACGAUGAUGACGGUAGCGUGAGAAGAAGCCCCGGCUAACUUCGUGCCAGCAGCCGCGGUAAUACGAAGGGGGCGAGCGUUGUUCGGAUUUACUGGGCGUAAAGGGCGCGUAGGCGGCCAUCUUUGUCAGGCGUGAAAGCCCCGGGCUCAACCUGGGAACUGCGUCUGGGACGGGGUGGCUAGAGAUCGGGAGAGGAGCGUGGAAUUCCCAGUGUAGAGGUGAAAUUCGUAGAUAUUGGGAAGAACACCGGUGGCGAAGGCGGCGCUCUGGACCGAUACUGACGCUGAGGCGCGAAAGCGUGGGGAGCAAACAG